rnacentral:lncRNA from 1 species
UUUGUGGUAUGAAAUGAAAUUAUGUUUUAUGUGAUCUUCAUAAUCCUCUUAAAGAAAUCUGUGUGACUCUAAUGAUUCUUACUGAAUGAGGAAUUGAUUUAGAGAUCAGAGAGUAAAGAGCAGCUGCGACAAGGCACGAGAGGAAUCUCACAACGCAUUAUCAUUAGCAGGUAUGAAACAGAUGAGAAGAUCCUCUAUAUAUAAAUUUGUGUCCGUGUGUAUUUGUGUUGUUCAUGUACAUAUGCAGUUUUUUUAAGCGCCUUUAUUGAACUUCGAGUACUAGAGCAAAUGAUAAUAUGGUUUAGCCAAAAGCCACAUGAGGCUUCAGUGAUGUCUCUCUUAAAUUUUUUAAUUCAUAUAUUUUACAGAAAAAAGAUGCAACACUACUAGACUUAACAACAUUAACAGGAAAUAAUCGUUUUUGGGUGGGAGUCACAAACACAAACUGAACUCUAAACCUGCCUGAUGAUGAGUCCAUUAUAGAUAUUAAUUAGAUUCCCCUGUAGCAGAGAUUUCAUCUUAUUUAAGUCAAGCCUCAUAUUUUUCAUCCUCAUAUAACAACGUACAAGCAGCUAACAUUCACAUGCUUUACCACUUUUUUUAGUUGAAACUGAAGCUUUUUUUCUUCGUUUUGGAGACUAACAAAAUGGGAUUUAUUUAACAUAAUCAUAAUUUAUUUUAAGAGGACUAAUUUAAAUUGCAAAUAUAUUUUGAUGGAUCAAACUGUGUUAUAAAUAAAUCAACACAGUUUAUUUGAAUUGAAUAACAUCAAUUUGUUCAACACAUUUUAUUAUGUUGAACAAAUUGUUGUUAUUCAAUCAAUGAUAUUAGAAUCCUCUUAAAAUAAAGAGAAAAUUGGAUAAAUGAGAUAUUUAGAAUUUGGUUUUGUCCCAAUAGAAUUUUUUGAUUUUAGGCUAUUUUGGAUACAUUUUACUUUUUGUAAUGAAAAAAAUAAUAAAUUAAAAAUAUAAAAUAUAAAAAAAUAUAAAAACUAUUAGAAACAUAAAUAUGAAUAAUUAUAGGUUUUACUUUCUUAUAAAAACAGUAAAAUCAUAUUUUAUUUUAUAUCAUAUCUGAGCAUAAAAUACUCAUUUUGGUCAUACACUAAUCUAGUUUUGAUAUAUAACGCAAACAAAAUUUUCUUAUAUAUUCUAUCUUACCUACAAUUCGUUCAUUUGUAUUCUGGCAAGAUAUCGUUCGUCUACGUAAAGUUUCUAGAAUUAACUAUAUGUUUUACCUUAUCUUGUUUAUGUGUCGUCACAUGAUUAAUUUAGCUGUUACCUAAUGCUACGCGUAACAAAUAAUAGAUUUCUCACCUACUAUGUAGUGUAGUACUCUACGUAAAAUCUAUUAUAAAUAAAUCACGAAAAUAUGGAAACUUCCAUAUUUCGGUUAAUAUAUUUCCUAAAUCUACAUGAAAUAAUCUCGCAUAAUAUCUUCCCUUCUACGCUUUUCUCUAUUACAAAGUUUGUGGCCGAUUUGAAAACCACCAAGAGAAGAGAGACUAUUCUGAAAUUACGAGUUCUGAAAUGCACAAAUGAAAGUUUUGGUUUGAUUCAAGAGGUCAUGCCUACACAUGAAGAAACUUUGGGGCUGAAAUAAAAUAUAUCAGAAGCUUAAGGAUUUAAUGGGCAAAAAUGAAAAACUCUAAUAUUGUUGUUCGAGUCCGUGAUGAUGGCAUCUGAAGAUCUGGCGGCGACUGAAGAUCCAGUGACGACUGAGAUGCUCCGGUCUUGAUGUAGCGAGACUUAGUGUUGGCUAAGCAACUUUCAGAGGUUUGUGAUGAAGUUACAAGUCAACUUAUCGAAGAAGAUGGUCGUGGUGGCUUGUUUAACGUAAAACACGUUUUUCUAUUUCACUUGUUUUUACUUAACAAAAUUAUAUUAAGAAAAUAAUUAAUAAAUAUUAUAUAUUCUAAAUAAAUUUAAUUUAGAUUAAUUUAAUGGUAUAAUAGUAUUAACAUUAAUUAAAAUUUUAAUGAGAAAAAAAUCUUAGAUUAAAUUUUAGUGGGACAAAUCCAAGUUUUAAGUGUUUGAUUUUCCAAUUUUCUCAAUAAUAAACCGAUUCUUAUUUGCAUUGAAAAUAUAUUUUGAUGGAUUUUAAUUUGAAUUGCAAAUAAAUCAAAUGAUAUUAUGUUGAAAAAAAUUGUUGUUACUCAAUCAAUAAUAUUAGAAUCCUCUUAACAAAUUUGGAUUUAUUUAACAUAAUCAUAAUUUAUUUUAAGAGGAUUUUAAUCUAUUGUGAGAGGAUUCUAAUAUGAAUUGCAGUGAUUAUGUUAAAUAAAUCAAAUGGUAUUAUGUUGAACAAAUUGUUGAAUUGGAAAUAUAUUUUGAUGGAUUGCAAAAUAUAUUUAAAUCAUUGAUUCAAUAACAACAAUUUGUUCAACAUAAUAUCAUUUGAUUUAUUUAACAUAAUCAUAAUUUAUUUUUAAGAGGAUUCUAAUUUGAAUCGUAAUUCCAAACUUAUAGACAAUAUUAUCAUAAAAAACCAUUAAUACAAGAUGGAAAAAAUAUUUUAUAUUAUUAUUAUGGAAAACUAGAAAGAUGAAUUUGAUCAAUGUAAUGCAAAGUUUGGUCAAAUGAUGAAAGCUAUUUUCUAGAUUUGAUCAAUUAACAAUGAAAAAGUCAUAUGUUAACUUUAUAAAAAAAAUGGGGACGUUGGAUUUAUAACUAAAAACUGUUCAUAUAUUUCCUAGAUAUAGAAAAUCUGAUUGGAAAUGAGAAAUUUUUCCAUUAGAUGAGUGUUUUUUCGUAGUUCAAAAAAAAAGAGAAUUUAUUUAAAAUACCACAAGUUAAAUAUCACUUUUGGAAAUAUUUUCAAUCAAAAAUAUACUAAUAUUUGGGUUUAGACUUUAUUGAUUAGUGUUUAGGGGAUGGGGUUGGGUUUAUAUAAGUGUCAAAAAUAUCUUGAAAAUUUAUCUUAAGUGUUAUUUUAUCAUAAAUUUCAAGUUUUUAUGAAAGUAGUCAUUAAUUAAUGAUAAAUAUGAAAAAUGGUAUCAAACUUGUGGUAGAAUUGAAAUUUUUCUCAAAAAAAUGAGUAUUGUUUCAUCGUAUCAUAUUUUUUAUUGAAUUUUGGUUUUAGUAGAAACUGUUUAUAAAAUCAAGAGAUAAUAGGUUAGAUUAUGACUCAUAUAUUUUACACAUAAAACAUAAUUUAAAUCCGUUUCAAAGUAUUUCAAGUCAAAUGAAUUGUCAAAUUUUAUCAAAUAUGAAUAACACGAGAUUUUAAGUCUUUUGUAUGAAUUCUUUAAUUGAAUAACAAUAUAUUACAAAUUCAUUAAAUAUAAGAACCAAUAAUCUUAGAUUUUAAAAUCUUUUAACAAAAAAGAUUUUAAAUACAGUUAACCAAUAUAAAAGAUUUAAAAUCAAUCAUUGAAUAACACUACAUUAUAAAACCGAGAGAAUUAACUUUAAAUCCACUGAUCUUUAUAAAUUCUAUCUUUGUUAAUGGAUUUACAAAGUAUUGUGGUUCUUCUCUCCAUCUAAACCGCGUUUAUGACAUUCUUGAAAUUGUGGGAUGUUAUGUUUUCUGUGAUCUUGAUAUAGAGAUUAGAGAGUAAAAAUGCAGUUGGGACGAGGCAUGAAAAGAAUCUCACAAGUCACAAUGCAUUAUCAUCAAGUGUGAAACAGAUGAGAAGAUCCUGUAUAAACUUAUUCAGGUUUACCAUAUUGCAAAAGAUCCCAA